rnacentral:rRNA from 1 species
CGUUUUCAGAAAUCAUAUUGAAAAUACUCCCUGCCCAGUGACUAUAAAUGUUCAACGGCCGCGGUAUCCUGACCGUGCAAAGGUAGCAUAAUCAUUUGCCUUUUAAUUGGAGGCUAGUAUGAAUGGGUAGACGCAGAUUCAGCUGUUUCUUUAUUAAACAUAAAACUUAAACUUCAGGUGAAGAUGCCUGAUUCUCAUAGAAAGACAAGAAGACCCUAUAGAGUUUUAGUUAAACAUAUUUUACAAUAAUAUUUAUAACUUUGGUUGGGGCGACCUAGGAUUUCUAUAAACAUCCUAUAAUACACCGAUAAUAUAAAUCUUAUUAAUAGACCCUAAAAAGGAUUAUCAGAAAUAACUACCUUAGGGAUAACAGGCUUAUCUUCCUAGAGAGCUCUUAUUGAUAGGAUGGUUUGGCACCUCGAUGUUGGCUUAGAGUAACUAGAUAUCGCAGCAGAUAUUUAAAGUCAGUUUGUUCAACUGUUAAAUCUCU